UACGUAGGGGGCAAGCGUUGUCCGGAAUCAUUGGGCGUAAAGAGCGCGUAGGCGGCCAGAUAAGUCCGCUGUGAAAGUCGGGGGCUCAACCCUCGAAUGCCGGUGGAUACUGUCGGGCUAGAGUGCGGAAGAGGCGAGUGGAAUUCCUGGUGUAGCGGUGAAAUGCGUAGAGAUCGGAAAGAACACCAACGGCGAAAGCACUCUGCUGGGCCGACACUGACACUGAGAGACGAAAGCUAGGGGAGCGAAUGGG
rnacentral:rRNA from 1 species